rnacentral:rRNA from 1 species
AUGAGGAGUCUCUUGAGUCUGUAUCAAGGGAUGCACAUGCAAUGGUGCGCGUUAGAACCGUGGAUAAGCAUGAAAGACGUACACUUUUCUAUGGAUGGCAUGCUCUGUAGUAACCAUAGUAAGAAAUGGCGCGCUCUCGUACCCCGAUCCAAUUGCCUGACCAAAUUAUGGUUGAUGUGUUCAGGAUGCUGCUUGCACAGGCAAUUGAGUAGUGAAGAAACAAGAACCAUGGCCUUUCACAUUGGUACAAGAUCCUCCAGGGACAGGGAAAACCCAUACUGUUUGGGGAAUGGUAAAACGUUAUUCAUCAGUAUUAACAUUGCCAUGCUGCUCUGCUCAAGAAACUUGCUCCUGGAAGUUAUGAGCAAGCUGGUGGUAGUGCUAGCAGUGGCUCAGAAGCUGUUGCUGCGGGCUCGAUGGAUGAAGAUGCAUCAGAACCUGUACGUUCCACACUCUUCCCAAGCUUUGCCCCAAACCGUGGAUGCUUGUUUGUGCCCCAUCAAAUGCUGCAACUGA